rnacentral:rRNA from 1 species
AUGGUUGUCGUCAGCUCGGUGUCGUGAGAUGUGGGUUAAGUCCCGCAACGAGCGCAACCCUCGACCUUAGUUGCCAGCAUUCAGUUGGGCACUCUAAGGUGACUGCCGGCUAAAAGUCGGAGGAAGGUGGGGAUGACGUCAAAUCAUCAUGCCCCUUAUGACCUGGGCUACACACGUGCUACAAUGGGCGGUACAAAGGGUCGCGAACCCGCGAGGGGGAGCCAAUCCCAAAAAGCCGCUCUCAGUUCGGAUUGCAGGCUGCAACUCGCCUGCAUGAAGCCGGAAUCGCUAGUAAUCGUGGAUCAGAAUGCCACGGUGAAUACGUUCCCGGGCCUU